AAAGCUUCGAAAUUGAAAUAUUUUUAGUUAAUUGUUAAUUUUGUUAAUAGUUAAUUUGUUGAAUGUUCUGUCCUGCGGACAGUCGCGAACGGCUGAGUAACACGUAAGAACUUACCCCUUGGCGGGGAAUACCUCCGCGAAAGCGGGGCUAAUACCGCAUGACCUCCUGCUAUGCAGGAGAAAAGGAUUUAACUAUCCACCGAGGGAAAGGCUUGCGACCCAUCAGCUUGUUGGUGAGGUAAUGGCUCACCAAGGCUACGACGGGUAGGGGAUGUGAGAGCAUGUUCCCCCAGAAUGGGACUGAGACACGGCCCAUACACCUACGGGUGGCAGCAACUGGGAAUCGU
rnacentral:ncRNA from 1 species